rnacentral:rRNA from 1 species
GAGGCGGCGGCGGAGGGGCGACGGGUGCUCGGUCGCAGUAGGGGUCGAGGCAGGGGGUGCCGGCGUGGGAGGCUCAGGUGCUACAGAAGACCUUUACCCUAGCUACCUCUACUUUUCAGACUUCUCUGCGUAUCGUUUCUAUAAUCUGCGUAGUUCACACUAAAAACGUGACAACAAUCCAGGUUCUACAUAGAGUAAGCUCGAGUGUACCAACGAGUCGUGUUCCUACUCAAUCUGCGUAGUCUUUAGAUAUUGAGUUUACCACUUUUCCAACAAGUACCCCAACUUGUGAGUACACUUCUCACGCCUCGAACAAAGGCCUUCGGUCGAGUAGACUUCGUCGUGUACGUUUCAGUAAGGUUUCUCUCUAGGAAGCGGACGGGUGAACUUCUGACGGGGAAGUCGAUAUAUUCUUUUCUAGUGAACUUGGCCGUAUACGAAUGUGUACUCCCGUUCAACAAAUGUACGGGAGAUCUUCCAACACCGUUCUCCAAGUCGUAGUUCCGCUUAUAAGUUUCUGUACAAUUCCUUUACGUACUCCUUCUUGUGCUUACGUUUUAACUACUGUGAUUUUCGUUGGUUGUCCAAUAAACGGUCCUCCUCCCGACAUUUUUCCGAAAGUUCAUAGGAAGUGUCGACUUCUUUGUGCUCCUCAGUGUACGGUUUAACCUGAUACACCUUCAUCAGACAACACUCGGACCGACGAACUUCUGUAAGUGUUUACGGUUCACGGACUUCCGAGUAUUGGUCAGAACGGUAGAUAUAUGAGUGACACUAUAAACACCCCUCUUUGUGGACUCCUUCUUGUAAUUUUCCGUAGAUGCUCAAGUACUGUUUCACGUGAGAUGACUUUCCGACCUUACGUCAAAACUACCGACACUUACGAGGAAAAGGUUGUUUAGUUUAGAUUGGUACGUAUACUUCCGCACGGUGCUGGUUCAGUCCGGAAAACUCACAGCCCAGCGCCCCACACCGUUCUGUAAGGGGAUGUUCGUACAGUCCCUGUUAGUGCUCUUCAGCUCAACAGUACAUAUACAUCUCCCGCUGAUACUCCUCUACCUACUCGUCGACGCGAGCGCGGCUCCUCCACCCGCCUUCUCCCGCCGGCACUGCCAUCUCUGCGACUGAGCGUUCUCCCAUUGGUAGGGGUCGCUCCAGAGUAGCGACCUGCUGCCCCGCCUCAUGUACGCGACCUACGAGAGGCUCCCCCCACUAAGCUUGGUACGGCUCAUCCGCACACGACGACAGAGAAUCAUACAACAACGUCAUGCAAAACCUCCAACAGUUUACAUAUCCCCCAGAGAUGCCACAACCCCGAGUUCAGCCACAUCAUACGUACAUACAUACCUCUCAAUACUAAAUCAUUCAUAUAUAUCAUAAUCGUUCACUUCGUCAGCACAAUAUAUACCCAUUCAUCAUUCAUGAGGUCAUCGAACAAACCUCGAUCAUCGUCAGGCCCGUAAACUCAGACAACAUUACCGGUAGAACUUCGACACAACAUCAAACCUACCGAACAACGACAACACC